CGCCCCGCCCCCGCUCCAGCCCCGCCUCCCUAACAGCCGCAGCACGGGCUGUCACCGGCACGUGCUCACGGCGCCGCCGACUCCGCCCACCCCACCAGCGGCUGCUCCCAUUGGCUGCUGACCGGCCUCUCGCUGGUUCCUUCCCUCCCUGCCCCCCAGCUCGCACCCCGCGUCUCUGAUCUGGGCCGCGUCCCGCUCCAGCGCGUCCAGUAGUAGACAUCUCCUCCCCAAGAGCUGAUCACAAAAGUGGCAGCUGCCGAACCAUCCUGCAUUGGGCGGGACACGAUGGGCUGCUCUACUAGGUCUUAUCUGUGUUGCUGGGAAAGAAGCCGUACAAGGUGGUCAGUGUUUGGAGUGCAAUACAAGAAAUGACCUCACCAUCUUCAGCUGUACUAGAUGUUAUUUUUGGCUGCUCUACACCUCAAGAACUCUGAAAUCAUAACUUGCCUGUUUGCACUGAAUAAGCUCUAUGGCCCAUCCUCUUUGGAGCUCAAAGCAGUUCAUCUAAUCUACUAAUACUUAAUCCACAAUUCUUUAGCUGCCUGUGGCCCUUUACAGGUCUUCAUGAGGCUCAGAAAUUGUGCACAUCUGAAUCCUCUACUUGAACUGAGCAAAUCAAUUCACUGGACGUCUGAGCAAACAGACCACCUGUGUUGAAAUAGCUGAGAUUUUCCUCCCUGUGGAUGUGGUUGGUGGCCACUGGGUUGUCUCAGUAUGUAAGAGUGGAUCCACUUCCAAGUCAGCCAGGAGAGGAGGAGAAAAAGCAGUACCUUUGACUCCUGAGAGGGAAACCAUUCUGCUGGGAGGGCAGGGGCAGCGCUGCAGAGACAGACAGAGAAGGCCGCCAUAGGACCUCUCAUUGGCAUGAACAGGAGGAACCUGGAGCAGUUUGAGUUCCUCAGGCACGGAAGGAUCAGGCUCUUCAGCAGGAAGAAACACUGAUGAACUGCUUCCUGGAGCAGGAGGUAUGCUUAGGGAAUCGGACCAUUCCCAUAGGGAACAGGAGCAUUCCCUGAUGCUCAUAGAACUGGUAGCUGAACAAUUUCAGAGUCUGUUUGCUGGCAUGGCCACAGCGCCUCUCUGUGAACCAGACCUAACUCCUCCUCCUCCGGGUGCCACCCAAGGUGCUGGUGAGGCAGAGGAGCCAAGCCCCUUGAGAAUGGAAGGAGCCUGUAGGACUCCGAGGACCACACCCUCUGCUAGCAGCCAAAACCCCUCACAGCAGGACCCCAGUGAGCAUCCAAGUGAGGAAUGAUGAGCCUAUGGGAAUCUCUGAAGCCACCAAGUGCCUGCCCCCCAGACUACACACACAAAAUGUCCCCAAGAACAGUUUUCCACCAUCAUUCCCCCUUUUUUAGGUGGUGUGGGAGGGCAUGCAAAUACAUUAAUAUUUGAUCGUUGUUUACAAAUUCAGUCCCGUUACAUUUUGUUGCUUUACUCCUUUUUAAAAAUAUUUCAACUACAUGUUUCAUAUACUACUUAUAAUAAAUGUCAUCAUUUCCUUGA